rnacentral:rRNA from 1 species
AUGCAUGCAAGUCGAGCGAAGCUUUUCAGUAGUUUACUACAGAAAAUGACUGAGCGGCGAACGGGUGAGUAACGCGUGAGCAACCUACCUUAGUUACUGGGAUAGCCCGAGGAAACUCGGAUUAAUACCGGAUAUUCUUAUUUAAUCACAUGAUUUUUUAAGGAAAGGUCAGCCGAACUAAGAUGGGCUCGCGUUCUAUCAGCUAGUUGGUAGGGUAAUGGCCUACCAAGGCUACGACGGAUAGCUGGUCUGAGAGGACGAUCAGCCACACUGGGACUGAGACACGGCCCAGACUCCUACGGGAGGCUGCAGCAGGGAAUAUUGCGCAAUGAGCGAAAGCUUGACGCAGCGACACCGCGUGUGGGAUGACGGAUCUAGGUUUGUAAACCACUUUCAGGAGGGAAGAAAAUGACGGUACCUCCACAAGAAGCCCCGGCCAACUACGUGCCAGCAGCCGCGGUAAUACGUAGGGGGCGAGCGUUGUCCGGAUUUAUUGGGCGUAAAGAGCUCGUAGGCGGUUCAACAAGUCGGUCGUGAAAGUUCAGGGCUCAACCCUGAAAUGUCGAUCGAUACUGUUGUGACUAGGAUACGGUAGAGGUGAGUGGAAUUCCGAGUGUAGCGGUGAAAUGCGUAGAUAUUCGGAGGAACACCAAUUGCGAAGGCAGCUCACUGGGCCGCUAUCGACGCUGAGGAGCGAAAGCUAGGGGAGCAAACAGGAUUAGAUACCCUGGUAGUCCUAGCUGUAAACGAUGGAUACUAGACGUAGGAAUUGGUCUAACGAUUUCUGUGUCGUAGCUAACGCGUUAAGUAUCCCGCCUGGGGAGUACGGUCGCAAGACUAAAACUCAAAGGAAUUGACGGGACCCCGCACAAGCGGCGGAGCAUGCGGCUUAUUUCGAUGAUACCCGUAGAACCUUACCUGGACUUGACAUAUAGGGAAAAGUUAUAGAAAUAUAAUG